AAUAUAAACAUUCCUUUGCAGAAAUUCAAGAUGGAAGGUGUUCCUGGCACAAGUUCGAGUAAUAUUUUACCGAAUGUAACAAAAAAAAUCAACAGGUGUGAAACAUGGGGUUAUGAUGAAACCAAAUGUUUGGUGAAUCUGUGGUCUGCAGCUAGAGUACAGCAGGAACUACGAGCUGUGUCUAGAAAUAGGCCAGUGUGGGAGUCUGUAACAAAAGACUUCAAUCAUCAGUUUAAGCCCACUGUUCCAAGAACUUGGCUUCAGUGCAAAACACGGAUACAAAAUUUGCUAAAUAAAUACAAAGCAGCCAAAGAUGAAAACAGGAAGUCAGGUGCUGGAAGGAGUACCUGUUUGUUCUUCGAGGAAAUUGACAUAAUAAUGGGAACUCGUGCAGUCGUAGAGCCUCCAGUGCUACUAGACUCGAUUCAGAAUGAAAAUUUACCUACUGUAAAUAAUGAGGUAGCCAUUGAAAACGAACAUGAUAUUUCAGUGCUUUUAGAAGAGAGUGUGGAUACUUCACUGGAUGAGUCCACUGAAAGUCAUGUUUCAGAGCCACUCCCAUCUAAUACAAAGAAGAGAAAAUGUACUGCUACACUUGCUACAAUGAUGGAUAACUUUUUAUCCGAGUUAAAAAACUCGGAGGAGAGGUUUUACGAAGCGGAGAGAAAAAGAUGGCAAGAAGAACGGCAAUGGGAAGAAGAGUUGAGAAGAGCAGAUUUGGAGAGAGAGCGACGCUACGAAGAACGGAUGUUUGAAUUGUUGAAAACUAUAGUGGAAAAUAAAAAAUAAUAUUCUGAA